rnacentral:rRNA from 1 species
CCUACGGGUGGCAGCAGUGGGGAAUAUUGCACAAUGGGCGCAAGCCUGAUGCAGCAACGCCGCGUGAGCGAAGAAGGUCUUCGGAUCGUAAAGCUCUGUCCUUGAGGAAGAAGGAAGUGACGGUACUCAAGGAGGAAGCCCCGGCUAACUACGUGCCAGCAGCCGCGGUAAUACGUAGGGGGCAAGCGUUAUCCGGAAUUAUUGGGCGUAAAGAGUACGUAGGUGGUUUUGUAAGCUCGGGGUGAAAGGCAGGGGCUUAACCAUUGUAAGCCUUGCGAACUGCAAGGCUUGAGUGCAGGAGGGGGAAGCGGAAUUCCUAGUGUAGCGGUGGAAUGCUUAGAUAUUAGGAAGAACACCAGUGGCGAAGGCAGCUUUCCGGACUGGAACUGACGCUGAGGUACGAAAGCGUGGGGAGCGAACAGGAUUAGAUACCCGUGUAGUC